rnacentral:rRNA from 1 species
UACGUAGGGUGCAAGCGUUAAUCGGAAUUACUGGGCGUAAAGCGUGCGCAGGCGGUUUUGUAAGUCUGUCGUGAAAUCCCCGGGCUUAACCUGGGAAUUGCGAUGGAGACUGCAAGGCUAGAAUCUGGCAGAGGGGGGUAGAAUUCCACGUGUAGCAGUGAAAUGCGUAGAGAUGUGGAGGAACACCGAUGGCGAAGGCAGCCCCCUGGGUCAAGAUUGACGCUCAGGUGCGAAAGCGUGGGGAUCAAACAGG